AAGCGUUACAUUUCAGCAACUCCGGCCAGCUCUCCGUACAGCGGAGAACAAUGGCUCACAUGGUGAGGCCGUUGAUUCAGUGGCCGUGGAGGCGUUGCGUUCGCACCUCCACCACCGCCAUCUCUCACUUACCAAUGCUCGGUUCGGCUUCCACAUCCGCCGUUACGAUUAUUCGGUUCUGUGGAUUGUUCUCUAUCUAUGACCGCGAAGUCCAUUUCCGAUCCCGUGGUCUUAAAUCGCGUGACGUUGCUGCGCCAUUCGAUGUUGAGGAGAGUGAGGAUGAAUCAUCUGACAGUAGCGGAGCCAAGAAGAGCCGCAAUGAGAGAAAGCGCGAGGCACGACGCGCUGUACGCUGGGGUAUGGAACUGGCUAGCUUUUCUAAUUCUCAAAUCAAACGUAUUCUUAGAGUAGCUUCACUUGAACAAGAAGUAUAUGAUGCUCUUAUGUUAGUGAAGAGACUAGGUCGUGAUGUUCGGGAAGGAAAGAGAAGACAAUACAAUUAUAUAGGAAGACUGCUGCGGGAAGUAGAACCUGAACUCAUGGAUAGUUUAAUUCAGGCCACAAAGGAUGGUGAUCAGAACCCAUUUAAAAAAUUUGCUAGUGAGGAAGCACUGUCAGAUGAUGGUGAGGAAGAGGGAGAAGAAGAAGUCUCAGAUGAGCAUGAAGAAGAGGAUCCCUUGAGCGUUGCAGUUGCUAUCCGAUGGUACGAUGGCCUGAUCGCUAAGAACACUACCAUCACCAAUGAAAUUUAUUCACUGCAAGAUGUUGAUUUUGAUCGACAGGAGCUUCGACAAUUGGUCAGGAAAGUGCAUGCUAGCCUAGAGGCUGAAGCCAGUUUAGAGGACCAUGGAAAGCCUAUUACUGCAGCUGUGAAAGCUAGAAGAUCUCUCAUGCAGUUUCUCCAGCAUGUUGCCAAGCAACUCCCAGAUGAAUGUGCAAUAAAUAGGUUUCAUUAUGAGUAGUGCUGCAUCAUCUAUCAGCUCUUGCAUUCUACAGAAUGGAUGGUGGCAUCAGAUCGUCAUAGUUAGUAUGCUGAUGAGAAAAGAUGCUGGACGAGACUUCACUUGUCCAUGAUAAUUUGUCAGAACCUUCAAUUGAUUAUUGUUAUUGCUGCGGGCUCUGAAUGGAUAUGGUGAUGGAUUUUCUGACCUGCACACACCCAAUCCAUGAUAAGAAAUGUAGUUGCAGCCCUACCCAAAUGGGUGUGAUUGCAGGUUGGCCCAAGUGGACACAGACAAGAUAAGAGAGGUUUGGCUGCCUGAACCUGAACGUAAACCUAAACCUGAACCAUAAACAUCCCCAUUCCCCACUACUAUCUACCUAUUCACUCUGUGUAUGGUUAAUGAUUGGAUUUAUUAUUUCAAAUUUAAAUGAAAUCGGCCUUGUAUGUUAUAUACUUUAGAACAAAAUUUGUAAUUAAUAAUAUCAAAUUUUAGUC